UACGUAGGUGGCAAGCGUUGUCCGGAAUUAUUGGGCGUAAAGCGCGCGCAGGCGGUCCUUUAAGUCUGAUGUGAAAGCCCUCGGCUCAACCGAGGAGGGUCAUUGGAAACUGGAGGACUUGAGUGCAGAAGAGGAAAGUGGAAUUCCAAGUGUAGCGGUGAAAUGCGUAGAGAUUUGGAGGAACACCAGUGGCGAAGGCGACUUUCUGGUCUGUAACUGACGCUGAGGCGCGAAAGCGUGGGGAGCAAACGGG
rnacentral:rRNA from 1 species